CCUACGGGAGGCAGCAGUGGGGAAUAUUGGACAAUGGGCGAAAGCCUGAUCCAGCAAUUCCGCGUGUGUGAAGAAGGCCUUCGGGUUGUAAAGCACUUUAGUUGGGAGAACAGCUUGGCCACACCAAGCCUUGACGGUACCCAAAGAAUAAGCACCGGCUAACUCUGUGCCAGCAGCCGCGGUAAUACAGAGGGUGCAAGCGUUAAUCGGAUUUACUGGGCGUAAAGGGUGCGUAGGUGGUUUUGUAAGUCGGAUGUGAAAGCCUGGGGCUNAACCUCNGAAUUGC
rnacentral:rRNA from 1 species